AGCAGCCGCGGUAAUUCCAGCUCCAAUAGCGUAUAUUAAAGUUGUUGCAGUUAAAAAGCUCGUAGUUGAAUUUCGGGAUCAAUAUGUCGGUCGUGCUCUUUGGUACGUACUGGCGUCAUUGUUCCCUCCUUUCUGACGAACCAUGAUGUCAUUCAUUUGGUGUUAUGGGGAGUUUGGACUGUUACUUUGAAAAAAUUAGAGUGUUUAAAGCAGGCAUUAGCUUGAAUACAUUAGCAUGGAAUAAUGAAAUAGGACGUUUGAUUCUAUUUUGUUGGUUUCUAGGAUCGACGUAAUGAUUAAUAGGGAUAGUUGGGGGCAUUAGUAUCAAUUGUCAGAGGUGAAAUUCUUGGAUUUAUUGAAGACUAACUACUGCGAAAGCAUUUGCCAAGGAUGUUUUCAUUAAUCAAGAACGAAAGUUAGGGGAUCGAAGACGAUCAGAUACCGUCGUAG
rnacentral:rRNA from 1 species